UACGGAGGGUGCAAGCGUUGUUCGGAUUUAUUGGGCGUAAAGCGCGUGUAGGCGGUCUCUUAAGUCUGAUGUGAAAGCCCUGGGCUCAACCCAGGAAGUGCAUUGGAUACUGGGGGACUUGAAUACGGGAGAGGGUAGUGGAAUUCCUAGUGUAGGAGUGAAAUCCGUAGAUAUUAGGAGGAACGACCGGUGGCGAAGGCGGCUACCUGGACCGAUAUUGACGCUGAGACGCGAAAGCGUGGGGAUCAAACAGG
rnacentral:rRNA from 1 species